CAACAGGAUUGGCGCUAGUGGAAGGGGGGCUGUGUCUUCGCAGUACCCUUGUUCUUAAAGGAGCACUCAACGGGACCGCCUCCGGUCAUCUUUUCCGACGACCUCUCCUCCUUCCCCCACUAGAUCUUCGCCCGAUGCCUCCCCGCAAAGCAUCCGCACAGCGAUCCACGGCCUCCACGGCCAGAUCUCAGGCUUCGACCUCACCUCCAAUUUCCCAGCCUUCUCCUUCUCCUCCGGCAACAGCCAUCGGCGUGGGGCAGUCAGACGAUCGGCUUUCGAUAGAUUUUGCCAACACCAUCUCGGGAGAAUCUCGACAGGGAGCAACCGACGUAUUGGCCGUACCUCCCAAGUGACAAA
rnacentral:lncRNA from 1 species